CACUUCUAAGGAAGGCAGCAGGCGCGCAAAUUACCCAAUCCUGACUCAGGGAGGUAGUGACAAGAAAUAACAAUAAACCGGCUUAUGCCGGUUUAAUUGGAAUGAGUACAAUUUAAACAUCUUAACGAGGAACAAUUGGAGGGCAAGUCUGGUGCCAGCAGCCGCGGUAAUUCCAGCUCCAAUAGCGUAUACUAAAGUUGUUGCAGUUAAAAAGCUCGUAGUUGGAUUUCUGUGGGGACGGAGCGGCCGGCCGCAACACGCGGUUCGAGCUAGCGCUUUCCCUACAUCCUGCCGCGAACCGUGCUACCAUUAGUUUGGUGGCGCCGGGGAUCGGCUCGAUUACUUUGAGAAAAAUAGAGUGUUCAAAGCAGGCCACACGCCUUGAAUAAGUUAGCAUGGAAUAAUAACUAAGGACUUCGGUUCUAUUUUGUUGGUGUUCGGGACUGAAGUAAUGAUUGAUAGGGACAGUUGGGGCGGUCUGUAUUCCAAAGCGAGAGGUGAAAUUCUUAGACCUUCGGAAGACAAACAGCUGCGAAAGCGUUCCGCAAGGAUGUUCCCUUUGAUCAAGAACGAAAGUUGGGGGAUCGAAGACGAUCAGAUACCGUCGUAGUCUCAACUAUAAACUAUACCAGCUAGGGAUCGGCCAACGUUAUUCUAUACCGACUUGGUCGGCACCUUAUGAGAAAUCAAAGCAUCUGGGUUCCGGGGGGAGUAUGGUCGCAAGGCUGAAACUUAAAGGAAUUGACGGAAGGGCACCACCAGCCGUGGAGCCUGUGGCUUAAUUUGACUCAACACGGGAAAACUUACCAGGUCCAGACAUAGUAAGGAUUGACAGAUUGAUAGCUCUUUCUUGAUUCUGUGGGUGGUGGUGCAUGGCCGUUCUUAGUUGGUGGAGUGAUUUGUCUGGUUAAUUCCGUUAACGAACGAGACCCCAGCCCGCUAAAUAGCGCGCGUGAGCUUUGCUCGCGGCGAGCUUCUUAGAGGGACUAUGAUGCGCGAUAGCACAUGGAAGUUUGGGGCAAUAACAGGUCUGUGAUGCCCUUAGAUGUUCUGGGCCGCACACGGGCUACACUGGCGCCUGCAACGAGCAUAUCAGCUGGCCCGAGAGGGUCUUGGCUAAUCUUUUGAACCGGCGCCGUGCUUGGGAUUGACCUUUGCAAUUGUUGGUCAUGCAACGAGGAAUGCCUUGUAAACGCGAGUCAUCAGCUCGCAUUGAAUACGUCCCUGCCCUUUGUACACACCGCCCGUCGCUCCUACCGAUGAAUGUUCCGAUGAAAUUUUCGGAGAGUGCCUGUGAACUUGGCUCUGCCUUGCGAACGGGAAGCUCAAAGUCACUUAAAUCUGAACAUUUCGAGG
rnacentral:rRNA from 1 species